GCGCCGGUGGUGUACGGUACACGCCCCAUACUCAUGCCUUACCCCCAGACGAAUCUGGUGGGGAGCCCGGGGUUCGACUCCCCGCCGGUGCA